UAGGGAAUCUUCCACAAUGGGUGCAAACCUGAGGGAGCAAUGCCGCGUGAGUGAAGAAGGUCUUCGGAUCGUAAAGCUCUGUUGUUAGAGAAGAACACGUGCUAGGUAACUACUAGCGCCUUGACGGUAUCUAACCAGAAAGUCACGGCUAACUACGUGCCAGCAGCCGCGGUAAUACGUAGGUGACAAGCGUUGUCCGGAUUUAUUGGGCGUAAAGGGAGCGCAGGCGGUCUGUUUAGUCUAAUGUGAAAGCCCACGGCUUAACCGUGGAACGGCAUUGGAAACUGACAGACUUGAAUGUAGAAGAGGAAAAUGGAAUUCCAAGUGUAGCGGUGGAAUGCGUAGAUAUUUGGAGGAACACCAGUGGCGAAGGCGAUUUUCUGGUCUAACAUUGACGCUGAGGCUCGAAAGCGUGGGGAGCGAACAGGAUUAGAUACCCUGGUAGUCCACGCCGUAAACGAUGAGUGCUAAGUGUUGGGGGCUUUCCGGCCCUCGGUGCUGGAGCUAACGUAUUAAGCACUCCGCCUGGGGAUUACGACCGCAAGGUUG
rnacentral:rRNA from 1 species